rnacentral:lncRNA from 1 species
UUAUUUUGAAUAAUAUUGGUUUGUAUUUUUAUACUGUAAAGAUACAAAUCCGGUAUUAAAAUACCCGGUUUUUUUCAAAACAUAAAAAAAUAUUUUGUUUUCAUGCAUACGGCCAGGUCUCUCAAAAAUAAUAAAAAAUCAUAUUGUAUUUUCGUAUAACAAAGAAAAUUUCAAAAAUAUGUAUUAGCAUAUAUUUUGGCUUUAAUAACCAGUUUAUUAAAGUUACGAGAACUAGGCCAAUAUUUCAAAAAUUCCAAAAAACAUAUUUUGUUUUCUUUUAAUAUCUGGGGUUACGACCUUAUACGUAAGACGUAUUCCGGAUAUUAAAUUCUUUUGUUGACAUCAGAAUUACCCGAUAAGAUAAGGAUCUCCUUACCGAGGAGGACUUUUCUUAAACCAUAGAUGGACCAACAACUAGAAAACACGACAGGACCUUAGGUUUUAUCAGAUAAUAAAACAAUGCAGCCUACCUUAAGUAGAGCGUAUUUGGGGUGCUAAUACCUUCCCUUUACGCAACCAGUCCCCGUACCCGAUCUCUAAGACCAGUUAGGGUUCCUAGUGACCAAAAUACUAGGUGGCGACUCCCAUUCCAUUUAACUGAUAAAAGACAAGAAUUUCUUGUCUCCCCAUAUUUGCCACACAUUAAAUACAUUUUUAGGGUGAAUGUUUUCGCCGCGACGCC